AGAUUGAACGCUGGCGGCAUGCCUUACACAUGCAAGUCGAACGGUAGAGUAGCAAUACUCGAGAGUGGCGAACGGGUGAGUAAUAUAUCGGAACGUGCCCAGUCGUGGGGGAUAACGUAGAGAAAUUUACGCUAAUACCGCAUACGAUCUAAGGAUGAAAGCGGGGGACCGUAAGGCCUCGCGCGAUUGGAGCGGCUGAUAUCAGAUUAGGUUGUUGGUGAGGUAAAAGCUCACCAAGCCGACGAUCUGUAGCUGGUUUGAGAGAACGACCAGCCACACUGGGACUGAGACACGGCCCAGACUCCUACGGGAGGCAGCAGUGGGGAAUUUGGACAAGUGGGCGAAAGCCUGAUCAGGCAAUGCCGCGUGACGAAGGAAGGAAAGGCCUUCGGGUUAGUUAAACGUGUCUUUUAGGUAACGGUAAACCGG
rnacentral:rRNA from 1 species